UACGAAGGGUGCAAGCGUUACUCGGAAUUACUGGGCGUAAAGCGUGCGUAGGUGGUGAGUUAAGUCUGUCGUGAAAGCCCCGGGCUCAACCUGGGAAUGGCGAUGGAUACUGGCUCGCUAGAGUGCGGUAGAGGAGAGUGGAAUUCCUGGUGUAGCGGUGAAAUGCGUAGAUAUCAGGAGGAACACCGGUGGUGUAGACGGCUCUCUGGACCGUAACUGACGCUGAGGCACGAAAGCGUGGGUAGCAAACAGG
rnacentral:rRNA from 1 species